GCAUCGGUGAUUUUCGGAUGAGCCCAAAAGAACGUGAGGUUAUAGAUACGAUAGUCGCACAACGAGCCGCCAAAAAGCGGCUACUAUAAGGUUAAAGCCAGAUACCUGCAUCGAAAAUCGCCCAGCCGCGUGAUGCCAUCUAGUAAAAAACACAUCACUUUCGCACAAUCCUAUUAUACCUAUGGUAUAGUAUUAUUCUUGUAAUUACGACAGUAGUUUGUUGAUUCUUUAAUAGUUCUCCUAGAAGUGCUAAAAACCCGGAGUAAAUGCUAAAUUCGAUAAGGACCUUUUCGGCAGUGGACCAUUCGUUAACAUAUUCGUUAAACAGUUGUGCAACGAUUCUAUCUAUAACCGCGGUGUUAUCCGGAAAUCUAUGGUUAUAUUUUAAAUAUUUUUUUUUUUUUUUUUCUUAUGUUAUCACCUCGUCAUCAUCGUACUUUGCAUAUAAUGACUUUAACACCGGCGGCAGUGGCGUAGAACGCUGGUUUAUCUAUAGUUUUUCUCAUUUUUUCCACAGCUCGUUACGAACUGGAAAUAUGUCAAAAAUGUCGUGACUAAUAUAUAUUUCAACGCUCCCUGGUUUCAUUUUCUCUUUAUUUUUUUUUUUUUUUUUUUUUUUUUUUUUUUAAUCUGAUACGACAAUGUCUUCCCAUUUUCGCGGUAUCGGUUUAAAAGAGACUAAUGGUGGUUUUAUCAGGGCAACAGCCUAAACGGAAAAACGAAAACGCAUAUUGUAUCGUUUAUCGCGGUAUGUAUAGAAAAACGAGAACUAUUGCUAGGUAUUUAUUCUUCGAGUAAAAAGAAGAAAAUAAACGUCGUUUCGAGAUACGUUUGAUGAGACGUGAAACAAUUGAUUAUAAUUGCGCGUGAAACAAAAUUAAUUUAAUUUAUAUAUCGUAAAACAAACCGAGAAAGUAAUACGGGGGACCAGAUUAGGACCCAUUUGGACACCACUCCCCUCCAAUAAAAAAAAUAACAUUUCUCGUCAAAACCCAUUGUCAAUUAAUAUGAUACUAACAUUAUUAAUAGAGAUAACCGUUUAUGAACAAUUUGUUCGAAUAAAGUGUGGCGAAGGAAUCUAAACUCUACCGAAUUCCUAGCGGAAUGUUAAUACUAGUCGUGGUGGUCGAAAAAAUGCGCAAGUACAACUCACAGUAACGCGAUACAUACGCGGGUACCCAGAAACAAAAUUCAAGAGCGAAGAAGAAACCUGAGUGAAGUGUUGAAAUCUAAAUACGAAUCGAAUCGUAAAAAAAUCAAACGCGACAAAUUUGAGGAGGAGGAUAAAACCCCCGAAUCGUCCUUCGGCAAGACCUCUUAAUAGGAGGCGUUUACGAAUUGACGCCCCCGGGCG